ACAAAAGGUAUAAGUUCACAAAAGGUUUCUGGGUGCGCCUGGGGCGCGUUCCAUCAAUAAUCCCUCCGUAGGUGAACCUGCGGAGGGAUCAUUGCUGGAACGCGCCCCAGGCGCACCCAGAAACCCUUUGUGAACUUAUACCUUUUGUUGCCUCGGCGCUGCUGGUCUUCACAGGCCCUUUGCUUCACAGCAAAGAGACGGCACGCCGGCGGCCAAGUUAACUCUUGUUUUUACACUGAAACUCUGAGAAAAAACACAAAUGAAUCAAAACUUUCAACAACGGAUCUCUUGGUUCUGGCAUCGAUGAAGAACGCAGCGAAAUGCGAUAAGUAAUGUGAAUUGCAGAAUUCAGUGAAUCAUCGAAUCUUUGAACGCACAUUGCGCCCUCUGGUAUUCCGGAGGGCAUGCCUGUUCGAGCGUCAUUUCAACCCUCAAGCAUUGCUUGGUGUUGGGGCACUGCUUUUAACGAAGCAGGCCCUGAAAUCUAGUGGCGAGCUCGCCAGGACCCCGAGCGCAGUAGUUAAACCCUCGCUCUGGAAGGCCCUGGCGGUGCCCUGCCGUUAAACCCCCAACUUCUGAAAAUUUGACCUCGGAUCAGGUAGGAAUACCCGCUGAACUUAAUAUAUCAAUAAU
rnacentral:rRNA from 1 species